rnacentral:lncRNA from 1 species
CACUCUUUGGCGGGGAGAAGCGAACAGAAUCGGAGAAGAAACUGGAUGGAAAGUAUUUUGUGAGGUUGCAAGAUCGCGAUUGGUAUUGGCGAGCUUUUCUACCUGAAGGGGAAGAUAGAGAUCAUCCUGCUUGUAAUCCAUUUGGUCCUAAAGGUAAAAGCCUUGUAGGACUCAAGUUCCCUAAAAGCCUUGUUUGUGUGGCUGGUUUGGAUCUUCUACAAGAUUGGCAAUUGGAAUAUGUGGAAGGUCUCGAGAAUUCUGACCAAGAUGUCAAACUUCUUUACCUAAAGGAAGCCACUAUUGGUUUCUACUUCCUGCCUAAUAACGAUCAUUUCUAUUGCCUCAUGAAUGAGAUAAACACCUUUGUGCAUCCUAACUGCUGAUAUACUGCUACUACCACUUAACCAUACAUGACUAAAAGCCUGACUUGUAUUUUUUAUGUCCCUACUUUAUAGUGGCG